UGGGGAAUUUUGCACAAUGGGGGAAACCCUGAUGCAGCGACGCCGCGUGAUUUAGAAGGCCUUCGGGUUGUAAAAAUCUUUUCUAUGGGAAGAAAAUGACAGUACCAUAGGAAUAAGGACCGGCUAAUUACGUGCCAGCAGCCGCGGUAAUACGUAAGGUCCGAGCGUUGUCCGGAAUCAUUGUGCGUAAAGGGUACGUAGGCGGGUAAGCAAGUUAGAAGUGAAAUCCUGUAGCUCAACUACAGUAAGCUUUUAAAACUGCUCAUCUUGAGAUAUGGAAGGGAAAGUGGAAUUCCUAGUGUAGCGGUGAAAUGCGCAGAUAUUAGGAGGAAUACCGGUGGCGAAGGCGACUUUCUGGCCAUAAUCUGACGCUGAGGUACGAAAGCGUGGGUAGCAAACAGG
rnacentral:rRNA from 1 species